rnacentral:rRNA from 1 species
GACGAACGCUGGCGGCGUGCCUAACACAUGCAAGUCGAACGGGACCAGGGGCAACUCUGGUUCAGUGGCGGACGGGUGCGUAACACGUGAGGAACAUGACCUUCGGCGGGGGAGUAGCCGGCCCAACGGCCGGGUAAUACCGCGUACGACCAUUUGGGGACAUCCUCGAGUGGUGAAAGCAGCAAUGCGCCGAUGGAGUGCCUCGCGGCCUAUCAGCUAGUUGGUGGGGUAACGGCNCACCAAGGCAACGACGGGUAGCUGGUCUGAGAGGAUGGCCAGCCACAUUGGGACUGAGACACGGCCCAGACUCCUACGGGAGGCAGCAGUGGGGAAUAUUGCGCAAUGGGCGAAAGCCUGACGCAGCGACGCCGCGUGA